GAUUAACGCUGGCGGCGUGCAUAACACAUGCAAGUCGAACGAUGAAACUUAAAUGAUUUCUUCGGAAUGAACUUAAGUGGCUUAGUGGCGGACGGGUGAGUAACGCGUGAGUAACCUGCCUUACACAAGGGGAUAGCCGUUGGAAACGACGAAUAAUACCCUAUGAUGUUUCUAUCUCGCAUGAGAUAUUAACCAAAGUGUUAGCGGUGUAAGAUGGACUUGCGUCUGACUAGCUAGUUGGUGAGAAAAAAGCCCACCAAGGCAACGAUCAGUAGCCGGCUUGAGAGAGUGUACGGCCACAUUGGGACUGAGACACGGCCCAGACUCCUACGGGAGGCAGCAGUGGGGAAUUUUGCACAAUGGGGGAAACCCUGAUGCAGCGACGCCGCGUGAUUUAGAAGGCCUUCGGGUUGUAAAAAUCUUUUGUAUAGGAAGAAAAUGACAGUACUAUACGAAUAAGGUCCGGCUAAUUACGUG
rnacentral:rRNA from 1 species